GACGAACGCUGGCGGCGUGCUUAACACAUGCAAGUCGAACGGAAAGGCCAUGCUUUUGUGGGGUGCUCGAGUGGCGGACGGGUGAGUAACACGUGAGUAACCUGCCCUUGACUUUGGGAUAACUUCAGGAAACUGGGGCUAAUACCGGAUAGGAGCUCCUGCUGCAUGGUGGGGGUUGGAAAGUUUCGGCGGUUGGGGAUGGACUCGCGGCUUAUCAGCUUGUUGGUGGGGUAGUGGCUUACCAAGGCUUUGACGGGUAGCCGGCCUGAGAGGGUGACCGGCCACAUUGGGACUGAGAUACGGCCCAGACUCCUACGGGAGGCAGCAGUGGGGAAUAUUGCACAAUGGGCGGAAGCCUGAUGCAGCAACGCCGCGUGCGGGAUGACGGCCUUCGGGUUGUAAACCGCUUUCGCCUGUGACGAAGCGUGAGUGACGGUAAUGGGUAAAGAAGCACCGGCUAACUACGUG
rnacentral:rRNA from 1 species